AACGAACGCUGGCGGCGUGGAUAAGACAUGCAAGUCGUACGGAGUGGCUUCGGCCACUGAGUGGCGCACGGGUGAGUAACGCGUGAGUCAUCCGCCCCUAAGACAGGGAUAGCCCCGGGAAACUGGGAUUAAUACCUGAUGGUCUCGCAAGAGUAAAGCAGCAAUGCGCUUGGGGAGGAGCUCGCGUCCUAUUAGUUUGUUGGCGGGGUAAUGGCCCACCAAGGCGAUGACGGGUAGCCGGUCUGAGAGGAUGUCCGGCCACACUGGAACUGAGACACGGUCCAGACACCUACGGGUGGCAGCAGUCGAGAAUCAUUCACAAUGGGCGAAAAGCCUGAUGGUGCGACGCCGCGUGGGGGAGAAGGUCUUCGGAUUGUAAACCUUAGUCAACAGGGAAGAAGAAAGUGACGGUACCUGUGGAGGAAGCCACGGCUAACUACGUG
rnacentral:rRNA from 1 species